rnacentral:tRNA from 1 species
GGGGCUAUAGCUCAAUUGGUAGAGCAGGUGACUCUUAAUCAUAAGGUUCACGGUUCGAGACCGUGUAGCCCCACCA